CCAAUAGCGUAUAUUAAAGUUGUUGCAGUUAAAAAGCUCGUAGUUGAAUUUCGGGGUCAGUAGGUCGGUCGUGCCACUGGUAUGAACUGGUUUUACUGAUUCCUCCCUCUUGAAGAACUGUAAUGCCAUUAAUUUGGUGUUGCAGGGAAUCAGGACUGUUACUGUGAAAAAAUUAGAGUGUUUAAAGCAGGCUUUAGCUUGAAUACAUUAGCAUGGAAUAAUGAAAUAGGACGUUUGAUCCUAUUUUGUUGGUUUCUAGGAUUGACGUAAUGAUUAAUAGGGAUAGUUGGGGGCAUUAGUAUUCAAUUGUCAGAGGUGAAAUUCUUGGAUUUAUUGAAGACUAACUACUGCGAAAGCAUUUGCCAAGGAUGUUUUCAUUAAUCAAGAACGAAAGUUAGGGGAUCGAAGACGAUCAGAUACCGUCGUAGUCUUAACCAUAAACUAUGCCGACUAGGGAUCGGAUGAUGUUAAUUUUUUAAUGACUCAUUCGGCGCCUUACG
rnacentral:rRNA from 1 species